AUUGAACGCUGGCGGCAGGCCUAACACAUGCAAGUCGAGCGGAUGAAGCGAGCUUGCUCCUGGAUUCAGCGGCGGACGGGUGGGUAAUGCCUAGGAAUCUGCCUGGUCGUGGGGGAUAACGUCCGGAAACGGGCGCUAAUACCGCAUACGUCCUGAGGGAGAAAGUGGGGGAUCUUCGGACCUCACGCUAUCAGAUGAGCCUAGGUCGGAUUAGCUAGUUGGUGGGGUAACGGCCUACCAAGGCGACGAAGCGUAACUGGUCUGAGAGGAUGAUCAGUCAGAUGGGAACUGAGACAGGGCACAGACUCCUACGGGGGGCCGCAGUGGGGAAUAUUGCGCGAUGGGCGAAAGGCUGAUACAGGCAUGCCGGGGGAAUGAAGAAGGUCUUCGGACGGUAGAGCACUGUAAGUUGGGGGGAAGGAAAGUAAGUUUAUCCCUGACUGUAUUGACGGUACCAACAGAAUAAGCACCGGCUAACUUCGUG
rnacentral:rRNA from 1 species